rnacentral:rRNA from 1 species
AUGAACGCUGGCGGCGUGCCUAAUACAUGCAAGUCGAGCGAACAGACGAGGAGCUUGCUCCUCUGACGUUAGCGGCGGACGGGUGAGUAACACGUGGAUAACCUACCUAUAAGACUGGGAUAACUUCGGGAAACCGGAGCUAAUACCGGAUAAUAUAUUGAACCGCAUGGUUCAAUAGUGAAAGACGGUUUUGCUGUCACUUAUAGAUGGAUCCGCGCCGCAUUAGCUAGUUGGUAAGGUAACGGCUUACCAAGGCAACGAUGCGUAACCGACCUGAGAGGGUGAUCGGCCACACUGGAACUGAGACACGGUCCAGACUCCUACGGGAGGCAGCAGUAGGGAAUCUUCCGCAAUGGGCGAAAGCCUGACGUAGCAACGCCGCGUGAGUGAUGAAGGUCUUCGGAUCGUAAAACUCUGUUAUUAGGGAAGAACAAAUGUGUAAGUAACUAUGCACGUCUUGACGGUACCUAAUCAGAAAGCCACGGCUAACUACGUG